AAGGACCUGAAGGUGGAUGUGAACCAGGCUGUGAUGUAUAAACAGACAAAGACGGAAAGGACAUUUAAGCCAGCUGCCCGGCUGAGAGCCACGUUCCAGACCAAGCAGGAAACCACCAGGGGCGGGCGUGGAGCAAACCACCAGACUUCA